rnacentral:rRNA from 1 species
CAAUAGCGUAUAUUAAAGUUGUUGCAGUUAAAAAGCUCGUAGUUGGAUUUGUGGCGUACGGUGUGUUCCGGGCACUUGUUGUCUGAGUAACCUGCUGUUGCCAUCCUUGGGUGGAACCUGUGUGGCAUUAGGUUGUCGUGCAGGGGAUGCCCAUCAUUUACUGUGAAAAAAUUAGAGUGUUCAAAGCAGGCUUAUGCCGUUGAAUAUAUUAGCAUGGAAUAAUGAGAUAGGACUUUUUUGCUAUUUUGUUGGUUUGCGCAAAGAGGUAAUGAUUAAUAGGGACAGUGGGGGGUAUUCGUAUUCCAUUGUCAGAGGUGAAAUUCUUGGAUUUUUGGAAGACGAACUACUGCGAAAGCAUUUACCAAGGACGUUUUCAUUAA